AUGCAUGGUUUUAGUUUCGUUCCACUUUUUCUGCUGCCCAACGUGCUGAUGCUUUACAUUUCUGUAAGAAUAAUAAAUUUUACUGUGAAAACCAGAGCAAAGGGCCUUCCGGGCCAAGGUCGAAACUGGAAGCAAGUCCAUUCGCCUAGAACAAGCACAAUCUUGUGGGCAGAGCAUUGAAGGAGGCCGGCAUACUGGACAAGUUUUCUGUUCUCAAUCAUCCUUCUAGGAAGACAGGUGGAAAGGAGCCAUGGAUUUAUAGCGGGUUGCUCCCUCACAUCAGCCGGGUCUGCACUCAGUAAUAACCUCCCCAGCAGUUUUUGUUCCUCCUCCUACCUCUACCCGUUUGACCGUCCUUCACAGCCCUGAUCUCAUCACUGUCAUUAUACGAGGUGCUUCUUCCCUCUCUCGUUUAUUGCUUACCUCCCCAAAUCAGGGGAGGAACUUUGCAUUUGUGUAUUCAUUCAUUCAUUUAUUCAUUCAUUUGAUAGACAGAAAGAGCAAGAUAAU
rnacentral:lncRNA from 1 species